UCUGGAAAUUGGCGAUUUUUUUCUUCCAAAUCAGGAGGGAGCAAUUUGAGGAAGGUCUUGGAGGCAUGUCAAGUUGGAGAAACGCAAGCCCUGUAGUUCAGUGAGGCACGGAUGGAAGGUACACCUGAGGAACGGUAAGAAGUGAGGUGAGGGGACCUGGGACGUAGGUUAAUUCCCUCUCGUACAGCAGUAGGACAACA
rnacentral:lncRNA from 1 species